GAUGAUUAUACGUAUUAUUAUGAUUAAAAAAAUCAAGCAGUGAAUCCUCCUCACUUGCGGAGUUAAAUGACCUGAGAUGACCUCAAUUUCCCAGCAUUCUUGUCAUAACAAUAUGGCGGCGUCCUUGGACGUGCAGCCGUAAAGUGAGCCAGAUAUUUAUAUGCGACAACUAAAGUUAGAUAUUUGUAUGGCUGAUGUUAUAUAUUUAUAAACAGUACUGUCUUGUUCGAUAGACAACAGAAAAUGUUGUUUUUAGCGGUGUUUUCGAGUUUGGUGUAUUCAGUCGGCGCUGAUUUGCAAGGUGCUUUGAAUGACGUUUGGGAUUUCACUGAGAGUUACCUGCUGUCUGUGUGGCAGGGCAGGUUUUAUGUGUACAUUACUGCCGCUGUUCUCAUAGGAGUCUGGUUUAUUGUCAACACGCUUUUCAAAAAGACAAAAACGGUCAACCCUGUAAAUCCAUGGCCAUAUAAGUCUGCAAAAAAACAGGAACUUUCACCUGUAACAGAAAAGGUCAUUAAUGUUUCUGGGGUCAAAGUCUUCUAUGGAUCAUAGACAGGAACAGCAAAGGGGUUUGCAAAAGAGCUCGCUGAAGACGUCAGCACACAGGGGAUCCAGUGUGAGGUUAUAGAUGUGAAAGAUUAUGACCCAGAUGACAGACUGGCUGAGGAGGAGGAACUGAUGGAGUCCAGCAGUGAUGCAAAGUCCUCUGCUGAUGAAGAGAAGUCUCAUGGCUCCGUCAUUGACAUGGAGGACCUUGGGAAUGUGAUGAAUCGUAUGAAGAAAGCCAAGAGCAUGCAGUUAUGGCAACAAUAUGUCCGCUUCCCCAUGAAAUAAUUUCCGAGAUCCUCAAGGAAGUUGUUUUAGCAACUGGUCAUUCUGCAUAUUUGACCCUUUUACUGGUAUGCAGAUGGUUUAGGGAUGUGGUCACAAAUGAAAUUUUCCAGAAAGCAGCACACUUUGCCUGCCUAGACAGUGUGGUCAAUUGGAAAAAAAUGUCUCUACUGUGAUGAGUUUUGACGUAUCUACAGCAUCAGGUAAUGCUUGGAGCUUUUCAAGUCCUAUCCACCAGGGUACAGGGGAAGAGGAAGACGAGGUGAACUGCUGGGCUUUUACUCCGAAGAUCUUUGUAGAGGAUUUUGCGCACAGGACUUUUUUUUUUUUUUUUGCUGCUGGAAAUGAAUUUCUGUAAAACUCAAAACGUGUACAUGGGAAUUGAGAGAUGAACUGGUUUUGAUGUAGUAAUUGAUGCAACUAAAAGUUAAACUUACAGGUGAAACUAUAAAAAUUAGAAUGUCGUGCAAAAGUUCAUGUUCAGUAAUUCAAAUUAAAAGGUGAAACUACUGUAAUAUAUUUAAUAUAAAUAACUAUAUACAUUUGCAUGGUUAUACUUUUCCGAGGGCUUACUUUUCUGUAAUAUUCUAAUUUUGUGAGGUUUUGAAUUUGGUGUUCAUAAAAAUUAUAACUUUUGCACAAUAUUAAAAUUUUUCGAGUUUCACCUGUAUAGUGUUCUAAUGAAAAGCCAUGACAAAAACAUAGGUUUUACUCAUUGUGCAUAUGGUAAGGUACCUUGGUUCUUUAAGGUAACGGUUUGCAUAAAUUCCAUUCUGCCGAUGCAUAAGUGCAGUUUAGAGUCUAUAAUAAAGAAAAAGUGACAAAGUCUUUGUUUUGUUGUGUUCUUAAGGGCAUGUAUAGAUAGACAACCAACAUAGUUAUUGAUUACAUUUAUGUAAACGCACAAAUACUAUAAUUAAACUUUUUUAUAAAUAUAGCAGUUUUUUAUAAAUAAAGCCAGUGAAGAGUCUUUGAAGAUGGUACGAUGGGGAUAUAAGGGACACAGGUCGAGUGGGAGAAGUUAGACGGCAAGCAGUGGAAGGGUUGAAGAGCAUAAACAGCUGUGCUCUACCAGGCAAGCUAAAACUCUGGUGCUUUCAGUUUGGUCUACUGCCGAGGUUGCUGUGGCCACUGACUGUGUAUGAGGUUUCUUUGACAACAGUGGAUAAGCGUGAAGCGUUAAUAAGUUCAUACAUCAGGAAAUGGUUGGGAGUUCCACACUGCCUCAGCAGAGUGGGACUUUAUAGUAAAGGAAUAUUGCAGCUGCCAGUCUCUGCUUUAACCGAGGAGUUUAAGUGUGCCAAGGUCAGGCUGGAAAUGACCUUAGAGUCACGUAGAGUCACGUGACAAAUGUGUAAGGGAGGCAGCCCCUGUGUUAAAAACUGGUAGGAAGUGGUCAGCAGAGAAAUCUGUAGUAGAGGCAAAGGCUGCCCUUCAAGUUGGGGAUAUUGUAGGACAGGUACAGCAUGGAAGAGGGGGUUUGGGCUUAGUGUAGCUCUUCCUAAAUGGCACAAGGCAGGCCCAGCUCAAAGGAGGAAGCUGGUAGUCAACGAGGUGCGAAAGCAGGAGGAGAGGAUGAGGUGUAUAAAGGCCAUUUCCCAGGCCAAGCAGGGAGAGUGGAUGAGAUGGGAGAGUGUGGAACAACGCAAGUUGGGCUGGCAAGACCUUUGGCCAAUGGAAGAGAGUAAGAUCAGUUUCCUUAUAAGGUCAACAUAAGAUGUCCUCCCAUCACCGCAGAACCUAAACCUCUGGGUAGGAGAGGAUCCCUCUUGUCCUUUGUGUUCAUCACCUGCCACGUUAAGGCACAUUCUGACAGGAUGUAAGGUAGCUCUUAGCCAAGGUCGGUUUACUUGGCGCCAUGACCAAGUACUGCGAUGUUUGGCUUUAGCAUUGGAGGGCUAGCGUAGUAUGACCAAUAAG